rnacentral:lncRNA from 1 species
CACGGCAGGGCUGCCGGAGGGCCAGACGGAGGAGGAGGAAGCCCAACUUCCACACCUGAAGACCCAGAGUCCACCCAGCGGGCAGCCCCUGAUGGACCAAGCUCAAAGGGCGACUGUGAGGCAGGGGAUCACAAACACGGGUGGCCAGGAUGGGAAGACUGCCGGCCGGGGUCCUCAGAGGCCUCGGUGGCUGCUACUUCAGGAGCACCUGCGGCACUCGCUGGGGUGCAGAGCCACCUGCUGUGCCAAGUCCGUCCUCUCUCAUGGAGAACACGGGAACCUGUGAAGGCAGAGCCACCUGCUGUGCCAAGUCCAUCCUCUCUCAUGGAGAACACGGGAACCUGUGAAGGCAGCAGCGACCUUCUGCAGCUCCAGGCCACGGGAGGUUCUGGCAAUGAGAACCAGGGUCAAGGUGCCGUCCAGGCCUAGGGCUGCCCCCAGUGAGAGCAGCAAAGGCUUGAGGAUGGCAAAAGCUGAGCUGCGGACGCCAUGGGAACACGG